UACAGAGGAUGCAAGCGUUAUCCGGAAUGAUUGGGCGUAAAGCGUCUGUAGGUGGCUUUUUAAGUCCGCCGUCAAAUCCCAGGGCUCAACUCUGGACAGGCGGUGGAAACUACCAAGCUGGAGUACGGUAGGGGCAGAGGGAAUUUCCGGUGUAGCAGUGAAAUGCGUAGAGAUGCGGCGGAACACCGAUGGCGAAGGCAGCCCCCUGGGCUGAGAUUGACGCUCAGGCACGAAAGCGUGGGGAGCAAACAGG
rnacentral:rRNA from 1 species